GUGGGGAAUAUUGGACAAUGGGCGCAAGCCUGAUCCAGCCAUGCCGCGUGAGUGAUGAAGGCCCUAGGGUUGUAAAGCUCUUUCACCGGAGAAGAUAAUGACGGUAUCCGGAGAAGAAGCCCCGGCUAACUUCGUGCCAGCAGCCGCGGUAAUACGAAGGGGGCUAGCGUUGUUCGGAAUUACUGGGCGUAAAGCGCACGUAGGCGGACAUUUAAGUCAGGGGUGAAAUCCCGGGGCUCAACCCCGGAACUGCCUUUGAUACUGGGUGUCUGGAGUAUGGAAGAGGUAAGUGGAAUUCCGAGUGUAGAGGUGAAAUUCGUAGAUAUUCGGAGGAACACCAGUGGCGAAGGCGGCUUACUGGUCCAUUACUGACGCUUAGGUGCGAAAGCGUGGGGAGCAAACAGGAUUAGAAACCCGAGUAGUCC
rnacentral:rRNA from 1 species